rnacentral:rRNA from 1 species
AGAGUUUGAUCCUGGCUCAGGAUGAACGCUAGCGGCAGGCUUAAUACAUGCAAGUCGAGGGGUAGCAUGAUUGUAGCAAUACAAUUGAUGACGACCGGCAAACGGGUGCGGAACACGUACACAACCUUCCUACAAGUGGGGAAUAGCCCAGAGAAAUUUGGAUUAAUACCCCGUAACAUAGCGAUGUGGCAUCACAUUGCUAUUAUAGCUUCGGCGCUUGUUGAUGGGUGUGCGGCUGAUUAGAUAGUUGGCGGGGUAACGGCCCACCAAGUCUACGAUCAGUAGCUGAUGUGAGAGCAUGAUCAGCCACACGGGCACUGAGACACGGGCCCGACUCCUACGGGAGGCAGCAGUAAGGAAUAUUGGACAAUGGACGCAAGUCUGAUCCAGCCAUGCCGCGUGAAGGAUUAAGGUCCUCUGGAUUGUAAACUUCUUUUAUAAGGGACGAAAAAAGGUCUUUCUAGAUCGUCUGACGGUACCUUAUGAAUAAGCACCGGCUAACUCCGUGCCAGCAGCCGCGGUAAUACGGAGGGUGCAAGCGUUAUCCGGAUUCACUGGGUUUAAGGGGUGCGUANGCGGGCAGGUAAGUCAGUGGUGAAAUCCUAGAG